rnacentral:rRNA from 1 species
GUCUUUAAGAUAUUAAUUUAAAGUCCAAUCUGCCCACUGAAAUUUUUAAAGGGCUGCAGAAUUUUAACUGUACAAAGGUAGCAUAAUAAUUUGUUUUUUAAUUAAAAACUUGAAUGAAAGAUUAAAUGAAAUAUAAACUGUUUCAAUUAAAUAAAUAUUAAAUUUUUUAUUUAGGUAAAAAAACCUAAAUAAUUUUUAAAGACGAUAAGACCCUAUAGAAUUUUAUUUAUAAUUAUAUAUUUAUAUAUAUAUAAAUUUUAUUGGGGUAAUAAAAAAAUUUAUUUAAUUUUUUUUAAAAAUAACAUUAUAUAAAUGAAUUAAUUAUCUUAAUUUUUAAAAUAAAAAAAUUAAUUACCUUAGGGAUAACAGCAUAAUUUUUUUUGAAAGAUCUUAUUAAUAAAAAAGAUUAU